CACAUGAACACCGACACGUUGAACGCAUAUUGCGCAUCGGACGCUUCAACCCGACCGAUGCACACAUCCUUGAGU
rnacentral:rRNA from 1 species